GGAUCAGUAGUUCAGUUGGUUAGAAUGCCGCCCUGUCACGGCGGAGGUCGCGGGUUCGAGUCCCGUCUGGUCCGCCA
rnacentral:tRNA from 1 species